UCCUUUCCAUAAUCUAAAAUCGCUGCAAGUUCAUAAUAAAAUGAAUGGUAAAUGUAACAUAUAACGGCACAACGAUAACGAUAUAACGCGUGUUAUAUGUCCACAACAUAUCAAACCACGUUUACCAUAUUUUUAAAUCUCGCGCUAAAACACGACAUAAGUGUAAGUUCCGGUGAUCGUAAGGGGAUGAUUCAUUGCAUUUGUGGAUGGAGUAUUAUAAUUUGAAGAUAGCAGUACGAAGUGAUCAUUUACCGACUGACGGUACCAAAAAAGUAGGAACCUGCAGUCUCUCCUCAUAAAUCAAAAGUACAAAACAGGG